UAGACUCUCCGUCCUCAUUUGUGGCAUUCUAGUUAUAGGGCCUAUAACUAGAAUGCCACAAAUGAGGGCGGAGUGUCUAU